CUCACACACUCACACACACACACUCACACACUCACUCACACACUCACACACACUCACUCACACACACACUCACACUCACACACACACAUCACUCACACUCACACACACACACACACACACACACUCACAGGUACAACUGAGACGCUCAGAACUGGGUUCCCACAUUCCACACAUCCUUUCCACAUGCCACAGAUCACACAGUUGGUGCCCUCCUUGUCCCUCUCUCUCUUGGCCCACAGGCCUAGUCAGUCAGUCAGUCUGCCCGUCUCUCUCUCUCUCUGUCUCUGACUCUCUCUCUCUGUGUCUUUCUCUCUCUCUGACUCUGUCUCUCUCUCUCUGUGUGUCUGUCUCUAUGUCUCUCCUCUCUCUCUCUCUCUCUCUCUCUCUCUCUCCCUCUCUCUCUUGGCCCACAGGCCUAGUCAGUCUGCCUGUCUGUCUCUCUCUCUGUCUCUCCUCUCUCUGUCUCUCUCUCUCUCUGUCUCUCCUCUCUCUGUCUCUCUCUCUCUCUGUCUCUCCUCUCUCUGUCUCUCUCUCUCUCUGUCUCUCUCUCUCUCUAUCUCUAUCUCUCUGUCCCUCGGCCCACAGGCCUAGUUAGUCAGUCUGCCUGUCUGUCUCUCUCUGUCUUUCUCUCUGUCUCUCUCUCUGUCUCUCUCUGUCUCUCUCUCUCUCUGUCUCUCCUCUCUCUGUCUCUCUCUCUCUCUGUCCCUCGGCCCACAGGCCUAGUCAGUCUGCCUGUCUGUCUCUCUCUGUCUUUCUCUCUGUCUCUCUCUCUGUCUCUCUCUGUCUCUCUCUGUCUCUCUCUCUCUCUGUCCCUCGGCCCACAGGCCUAGUUAGUCAGUCUGCCUGUCUGUCUCUCUCUGUCUUUCUCUCUGUCUCUCUCUGUCUCUCCUCUCUCUGUCUCUCUCUCUCUCUGUCCCUCGGCCCACAGGCCUAGUCAGUCUGCCUGUCUAUCUCUCUCUCUCUCUGUCUCUCCUCUCUCUGUCUCUCCUCUCUCUGUCUCUCUCUCUCUCUGUCCCUCGGCCCACAGGCCUAGUCAGUCAGUCAGUCAGUCUGCCUGUCGGUCUCUCUCUCACCUGUUUCUUGAGGCCCACAGGCCUAGUCACAGUCUCCCCUCUCGCCCUCUCCCCACCCCCCCAUACACACAGACACACGUGGGAUCCCCUGAAGGACCCUCACCCGGGGCCGCCCCCACGAGGCUUGCCAAAGCUACACGGGGGGGCUGCAGGGGUGCAGCGAAUCACCUCAGAACCCGAGAGGAGUUGAGUGCUCGACCCACGCUCGCACACUCACACUCGCACACGCUCGCACGCUCGCGCACACGCCUGCGAUCGCUCCCACACAAGGCUGGCAGCCCGCGGGUCCCCUCUCACCUGCCUCCCUGCUGCGCCCUCAGCCUCACAGCUGCGAAAGGACAGCCGGCGGCCGAGCCCCCGCGCCUGCGCACUCGCCUCCCGGGCCGGGCCGCAGGGGUCCCCUCCGGGCGGCCGCUCCUCCACUUGUCCCGGGCGAGCCACACGGGGAAAGCCGGACAGCCGCACAGUGCAACACACCCAGCCUGCGUGUGAACACACACCAAGCGCCCAGAGGAGUGGAAGUGACUUGUUUAGCUCCUCAGUCGAGAGUGACAGCGAUGAGCAUCAGAGGGCGACAUCUGAGUGGCCACUGUGCGAGCAGCGCCCGCCUUAAGAUCCUGUAGUUCUCCCAGAAACACUACGGAGGCAAAUACUGUGAUUUCACUUGGCAGAUGAGAAAACUGAGGUUCCAAGCAUAUGUUGUACUUUACCUGAGGCCCCAGAACUAGAAACGGGGGUGGGGGGAGCGCACAACGCUUAAAUUCUGCACAUCAUUUAUCUAAAGGGGUGAAAGGGCCCCGUCUCAAGAAGAGGGGUACAGGGUGGGAAGCCCCCGGGAAGAGGUGCGGCUCGGAUUCUCACAGCCCUUUCUAAGUUUCUCCAAUCUACCCAUGAGAAACUACGAUGCCACCACUGUCUUGGAGAUUAGAAAGGGGGCAGAAUAUAGGUUGCACUUGCUUCUCGGUGAAUGAAAAAAUAAAUAAAAAGGAAAGGACA
rnacentral:lncRNA from 1 species